CCGCCUCCCUCAUCUCCUCCUCCUGAACUCGGUCCCCGGCCCGAGCGCCUGGGGAAGGUGCCGUCCUUCCGGAACGGGAAGAGGCGGGCACAGGCUGGCGCGAAGAGGUGCUGGGCAACAUGCUUCAAGAAGGCGCCCACGGGCGGUGGACUGUGUCUAGCAGUGAGGACAGCACUGAAGAGAAUUCUGACAGCGAAAAGCCCUCGACGUCCUCGCUGCCGUGUGCCCCGCGCAGUGAAGUGAGCGUGCCGCAGUACCCCUGCUCUGAGGCCAGGAGGGCCGCUCACAAAAGGAAGGCUUCUCCACUGAAGUUCGUUGACACACCUGCUGCGCAUACACCUCCUGUAGAAAAGCAGAGGCCUGGCCAGGAGGGCUUGGGAUGGUGCCUUUCUAGUAGCGAUGAAGAGCCUGAAGACAAGGUGAAGCAUGCCAGCAAGGAAACACCAAAAGAGGAAAAGUGCGAUGCACCCAGAGAGCAACCUCGGAGUCAUUGCAAAGAUGAACAUUCAAAGGAUGUGAAAGCAGAGGACUAUAAUGAAGCACCUGGUGAACCCCAAGAUACCUGGGAUUUGCUGAGUGGAGGGAACCCCUUUGGGUUUUUUCUCACCAAAGUUAGGGGAAUUGAGCAGAGCUAUAAUUCUGGAGCCCUGCACAUAAAAGAUAUUUUGUCUCCUCUUUUUGGGACCCUUGUAUCUUCUGCUCAGUUUAACUACUGUAUAGACGUGGCAUGGCUCGUACGACAGUAUCCACAGGAAUACAGGAAGAAGCCAUUGCUGAUAGUUCAUGGUGAAAAGAGAGAGUCCAAAGCUGAACUGCUUGCACAAGCACGCCCUUUUGAGAACAUUAGCUUCUGUCAGGCCAAGCUGGAUAUUGCAUUUGGAACUCACCAUACGAAAAUGAUGUUGUUAUUAUAUGAAGAAGGUUUUCGAGUUGUGAUACAUACAUCCAAUCUUAUUGCUGAAGACUGGCACCAGAAAACUCAGGGAAUAUGGCUAAGCCCUUUAUAUCCAAGGCUACCUCAGGGAUCAUCUGAUUCUGCUGGUGAAUCUGAAACUAAUUUUAAAUCUGACUUAAUAAGUUACUUGAUGGCUUACAAUUCUCCUGUGCUCAAGGAAUGGAUAGAUCUGAUUCGAGAACAUGAUUUAUCAGAGACAAGAGUGUAUCUGCUUGGUUCUACCCCUGGACGAUAUCAAGGUAUUGAUAAAGAGAAGUGGGGUCAUCUUAGGCUCAGAAAGCUUUUGAAAGAGCAUACUUCAUCAAUAGCAGCACAGGAAUCUUGGCCUGUUGUAGGACAGUUCUCAAGCAUUGGUUCCCUGGGAGCAGAUGGGUCCAAAUGGCUGUGCUCAGAAUUCCAGGAGAGCCUGGUGGCUGCAGGCAGUGGUGUGGCAGCUCUUCUUAAAUGUGAUGUUCCAAUUCAUUUGGUUUAUCCUACUGUGAACAAUGUGAGGCAAAGUCUGGAAGGCUAUCCUGCUGGUGGUUCCCUUCCAUACAGCAUACAGACAGCACAGAAACAGCUGUGGUUACAUUCCUAUUUUCACAAAUGGUCAGCAGAAGUCUCUGGUCGAAGUCAUGCCAUGCCUCACAUCAAGACAUACAUGAGACCUUCUCAUGACUUCCAGAAGAUUGCAUGGUUUUUAGUUACAAGUGCCAAUCUAUCUAAAGCAGCAUGGGGAGCUCUGGAGAAAAAUGGCACCCAACUGAUGAUCCGUUCAUAUGAACUUGGAGUCCUUUUCUUGCCUUCAGCAUUUGGAUUGGACAACGGUUACUUCCAUGUGAAAGGGAAAAUGCUUUCAGAAGGUAAAGAUUCAGCAACAUCUUUUCCUGUACCAUUUGAUCUGCCUCCAGAACAGUAUGGAAGCAAAGACUUUCUGGAUUUGGCUGUACAUACUGUACUGCCAUCUGUCAUACGCCUGAGAACAUGAAGUUUUAAGAUGGCUUGCGUACAUGCUAUUGACCUACACAAUAUACUGUAUUUGCAAAGUCCUGUAUUUUUAACAUCAGACCAACCGUGGAUUUGGAAUAUUCCUUACACUAGUGCCCCUGAUACGCAUGGAAAUAUGUGGGUUCCGUCAUGAAUGUUUCCAGUGUUUUGUGAUGUUUCACUUGCUGACACUGAGCCUGCAAGACUAAUGCAAGACUGCUUAUUUCUUUCUUAAAGCUGUAAUGUCUGCUAAAAAGGCUAUGUUGAAGUUGAAAGGUAAAUGUUGAUAAUGGAGAGAUUCUUGAAGAAUUCGUAACAAUAAAUGAACUUGUAACUGCAUUUUUAAAAGUAACUUUUUGUAUGUCUUCUCAUUAGUUCUCUUUCCAGUAUACUUUUCAAGACUGAAAGCAGACUGUCCUCAGAGAUUCUCUCAGUAUUUUUAGCAGUAGUGGAUUUAAAUGUUAUUGAGAGUCUACCAGUUGGCCUCAGCACCUCUUAAAAAAAAUUGUGUUAAGUUUAAAUAAAGUCAACCUUGUUUAUGUA